GGUUAAGUGAAUAAGGGCGCACGGUGGAUGCCUUGGCACUAGGAGCCGAUGAAGGACGGGACUAACACCGAUAUGCUUUGGGGAGCUGUAAGUAAGCUAUGAUCCAGAGAUUUCCGAAUGGGGGAACCCAGCAUCUUUUAUAGGAUGUUACUUUUCAGUGAAUACAUAGCUGAUUAGAGGUAGACGCAGAGAACUGAAACAUCUAAGUACCUGCAGGAAGAGAAAGAAAAUUCGAUUCCCUGAGUAGCGGCGAGCGAAACGGGAAAAGCCCAAACCAAGAUGCUUGCAUCUUGGGGUUGUAGGACUCCAAUAUGGUAGUACGAUCAGAUAGUCGAAUGACUUGGAAAAGUCAGUCAAAGAGGGUAAAAACCCCGUAGACGAAAUUUGGUAUGCACCUAGGAGGAUCCUGAGUACGGCGGAACACGAGAAAUUCCGUCGGAAUCCGGGAGGACCAUCUCCCAAGGCUAAAUACUCCCUAGUGACCGAUAGUGAACCAGUACCGUGAGGGAAAGGUGAAAAGCACCCCGGAAGGGGAGUGAAAUAGAUCCUGAAACCGUGUGCCUACAACAAGUCAAAGCCCGUUAAUGGGUGAUGGCGUGCCUUUUGUAGAAUGAACCGGCGAGUUACGAUUGCAUGCGAGGUUAAGCUGAAGAGGCGGAGCCGUAGCGAAAGCGAGUCUGAAUAGGGCGUUUUAGUAUGUAGUCGUAGACCCGAAACCAUGUGAUCUACCCAUGUCCAGGUUGAAGGUGCGGUAAAACGCACUGGAGGACCGAACCCACGUACGUUGAAAAGUGCGGGGAUGAGGUGUGGGUAGCGGAGAAAUUCCAAUCGAACUUGGAGAUAGCUGGUUCUCUCCGAAAUAGCUUUAGGGCUAGCCUCGGAUUUAAGAAUGAUGGAGGUAGAGCACUGUUUGGACUAGGGGCCCAUCUCGGGUUACCGAAUUCAGAUAAACUCCGAAUGCCAUUCAUUUAUAUCCGGGAGUCAGACUGUGAGUGAUAAGAUCCAUAGUCGAAAGGGAAACAGCCCAGACCACCAGCUAAGGUCCCAAAAUAUAUGUUAAGUGGAAAAGGAUGUGGGGUUGCACAGACAACUAGGAUGUUGGCUCAGAAGCAGCCACCAUUUAAAGAGUGCGUAAUAGCUCACUAGUCGAGUGACCCUGCGCCGAAAAUGUACCGGGGCUAAACAUAUUACCGAAGCUGUGGAGUGUACCUUUGGUACACUGGUAGGAGAGCGUUCUAAGGGCGUUGAAGGUAGACCGUGAGGACUGCUGGAGCGCUUAGAAGUGAGAAUGCCGGUAUGAGUAGCGAAAGACAGGUGAGAAUCCUGUCCACCGAAUGACUAAGGUUUCCUGGGGAAGGCUCGUCCGCCCAGGGUUAGUCGGGACCUAAGCCGAGGCCGACAGGCGUAGGCGAUGGACAACAGGUUGAUAUUCCUGUACUCGUUGUUUUUGUUUGAGCAAUGGAGGGACGCAGGAGGCUAAGGAAUGCAGACGAUCGGAAAUGUCUGUCCAAGCAACAAGUCUUAGUGAGAGUCAAAUGCUUUCACUUUCAAGGACAAGUUGUGAUGGGGAGGGAAAUAAUAGUACCGAAGUUCCUGAUGUCACACUGCCAAGAAAAGCUUCUAGUG
rfam:Enterococcus sulfureus ATCC 49903 acyDF-supercont2.1, whole genome shotgun sequence.